AAGGGUUAAUGAUAAAAAAGGUCAUUCUGAAGUACUUUAUUAUAAUUCAGGAUGCACAAAUAUCCCCAUGAUAAUUAAGGUCACCUAUUAACAACCUGACACUGAAAAUACAAAUAAUUACAAAAACUGCCACUGAAAGCACUCACUUCAAGACGCUAGGCCUCUCCAAUUUCACAUUCGACAGUUGCAGUUUGCAAUUUCGUCCCCUCCGAUCUCGUUUCCGCCGCCGCCUCCAGUUGGUCCUCCCUCCACAAGCAAUUAGUUCAUUUUGGCUGCAAUUGAUGGUGUGUUUUGGCCUCCUCCACUCCGGCGUCCUCUUCGAGAAUUCCAAUUUCGUUCGAGCUCGGACCCGAUGACAAUUACUGCCUCCAAUCAGAGCCCUCCUCCAGCCAAAUUCACCAACCACUGCCGCCAGCUUCCGAUUGACUUUGGCGUUUUACCAUGGUUGUGUUCUUUUUGGCGAUCGACUGCUCUUCUCUCUUCACAUCUUGAAGCUUUUCACCAAAACCAGAAGCAGGUUAUUAGCAAGCUUGAACGCCGCACUGUUGCCUACCAUGAGUCAGGGCAUGCAUUGUUGGUGAACUAACUGGCUUCCAUCUGUACUUUAUAGGUACCAAUCAGGUGACAUUCCUCGAAUCAAGAGAUAGACUUGGUGGCCGGUUUCAUACUGAUUGCUCAUUUGGUUGUCCAGUAGAUAUGGGAGCAUCAUGUGUGCAGUGAAGCAAGAGCACAACCCAAUUCCCUAAAAGCAAGAACAUGGAAGCUUUUAAAGAGCUUGUCUCCACCUGUAAUGGCUGCAGCUCUGCUCUUAUCUCCAAUCUUCAUUACUCCUGAUAAUCACACUCUUGCUAGGUUUAGCUUCGUUCAGUAUGUAAUACUUGUUUCAGUUUCAAUUUGAUGAAUGUUUAGUUGUAGACAAAUAAAAUUGUGCUUGUUGCUUUAGUGGGUAAAUUUGUAUUUUAGCAUCAGAACCUUUUUUGGAUUAGAUUUUCAGUUGAAGCUCGAGUUUCUGUGCUUUGAGGGUGUCAUUUUUUGCUUCAUAAUCAAAUUGGUGAAAAUCCCUCCCCUAUUACUAUUGCUAUCAUAUGUUAGGAGUUGCUUCCAGUUUUCAGGUAUCGCAAAUGAAUGGAAA